GAUUCUUUUGAUCCGUUAGACUCUCUUUGUUAUCCCCUUUCUUCCACUUGGUAACAUACAGCUUCUCCACCAUAAAAAAACGAUAAAUAUCUUAUUCAAUUCAGAAACCACACUCAGACAAUUCUCUUUUGCACUUCCCAAACUUUCUAUAUAUUUUCCCAAAAAAAAACAAAGGGAUGACACGAAUAAUCUCAAUCUUUUAAGAACUACUGAAGAAGUACAUAGAAGCCAAAAAAGAAUUCAAAGGAAACAGAGAAGCCAACGAAAACUCCAAAGAUUUUCCGACGUAGCCAAACCUCCCCAGCGACCACUAUCUGUUCCGCCCACAGAUGGGCCAAUUAUCUUAGACUUCAGUUUCACCACCGAGCCUCUACCGCACUGCCACUUUGUUUUCUUCGCGACCAUCUGUUCCCAUUGACAUCAGUUUUUUAUCAUGGAGGAAGGAGCGAGUCCCCUUGCACCAGAUUUACGUGCUAAAAUGGAUGAGACCUUUGAGGAGAUCAUCCUGCAAACUUAUAUCUUGGAGCUUCUUAGUUUACUGUUCGGUUAUGAUCCCGCAAACUUAUGUAUCUCACCCUUGCAGAGCUCAACCAAUGCUGUUGAUAUCUGAUCCUCAGGUCAAAUUCUCAACUAUCUCAUGUUACCCUCUUAAUUGUUACGGUUCUCUUACUGAUUACAGAUUAUUGAGUUUCUAUGUAAGGCAAAAGUAACUGGUAUCCAUGCAUAUAAAGGUUGGUGUUACAUUGGUUGCUCUAGCGAGAGAUUUCUUCUUUCACAUUCAUCGUAUGUGAUAAAUCUGUCCUAAGGUAUCAUGUGGAGCUAUGUGUAUCAGACGAGCUGGAUGAGGCUGUCUUUGUCGCUUUUGAUAUGGAGAUGGAAAAGUUGGCAAACAUUCAAGCUGCUGAAGCUGCACAAAUUUUGGGUCUCAUGUGGACAACGAACUACCCCACUUUGUAGCCUGAUAUUAUAGGCACAAAACCUACACUUUUCCAGCUCAAGCUAUGGAAGUUUAAUUUCACUUCCAAGCACCAAACCUUCACCGUUUCCCGUAUCAUUUCUUAGGAACAGCGUGCACCACUCCCAGAAUUUGUCAUACAA